rnacentral:rRNA from 1 species
UGUUUAAUAAAAACAUAGCGUUAAGUAUAUAUUUAAGGUGGUUUCUGCCCCAUGAAUUUUUAUUUAAAUGGCUGCGGUAUCUUGACUGUACGAAGGUAGCAUAAUUACUUGUCAGUUUAAUUGGUGACUUGUCUGAAGGGGAAUUUAAGAGAAAAGAUUUUUUAUUCUAAGUUUUUAAGUUUCUAAUGUGGGUAAAAAUACUUACAUCUGUGAGUAAGACGAUAAGACCCUAGAAGCUUCAACAUUAUUUCACACUAUGUUUUUUUUGGGGCAAAACAUUUAAUUAUAUAAAUGAUUCCGGAUAUACGAUUAUUCUUUUCAGUGUGGCAGUAGGGUUGUUUUAGUUACUCUAGGGUUAACAGGACAAUGGGUGUUUAGAGAACAUAUCGAAAUAUUUAGAUUGUUACCUCGAUGUUGAAUUUCCUAUGCUCUAUGGUGCAGCAGCUAUAGAAGUAAGUCUGUUCGACUUUUAUACCGGAACAUGAUUUGAGUUUAAACCGGC